GUCUGUAACCAUGAGGAGGGGAUACUAUAUAAUGUUGUUGGGUCUGUAACCAUGAGGAGGAGAUACUAUAUAAUGUUGUUGUGUCUGUAACCAUGAGGAGGGGAUACUAUAUAAUGGUGUUGGGUCUGUAACCAUGAGGAGGGGAUACUAUUUCAUGUUGUUGGGUCUAUAACCAUGAGGAAGGGAUACUAUAUAAUGUUGUUGGGUCUGUAACCAUGAGGAGGGGAUACUAUAUAAUGUUGUUGGGUCUGUAACCAUGAGGAGGGGAUACUAUAUAAUGUUGUUGGGUCUGUAACCAUGAGGAGGGGAUACUAUAUAAUGUUGUUGUGUCUGUAACCAUGAGGAGGGGAUACUAUAUAAUGUUGUUGGGUCUGUAACCAUGAGGAGGUUCUGUAACCAUGAGGAAGGGAUACUAUAUAAUGUUGUUGUGUCUGUAACCAUGAGGAGGUUCUGUAACUAUGAGGAAGGGAUACUAUAUAAUGUUGUUGGGUCUGUAACCAUGAGGGGACACUAUAUAAUGUUGUUGUGUCUGUAACCAUGAGGAGGUUCUGUAACCAUGAGGAAGGGAUACUAUAUAAUGUUGUUGGGUCUGUAACCAUGAGGAGGGGAUACUAUAUAAUGUUGUUGGGUCUG
ensembl:lncRNA